UGGAGGAUUGAGAAGGUUAAGUGGCUCCUAAGUGCUGCUCUAACUGGUUAUAACCUCCAAAAGAAAAAAACAAUGCAUUCAUUUA